GACGAAGGAUCCAAGCGUUAUCCGGAUUUAUUGGGUUUAAAGGGCGCGUAGGUGGUUCUGUAUGUCUACCGUGAAAGCGUACGGCUCAACCGUAUUUUGUCGGUGGAAACUGCAGGACUUGAGGCUGGGAGGGGCUGGUGGAAUUCCCUGUGUAGCGGUGAAAUGCGUAGAGAUGGGGGAGAACACUCGUGGCGAAGGCGGCCAGCUAGACCAGUUCUGACACUGAGGCGCGAUAGCGUGGGGAGCAAACAGG
rnacentral:rRNA from 1 species